rnacentral:rRNA from 1 species
CGCAAGGUGCUGACGAGUGGCGAACGGGUGAGUAAUGCAUCGGAACGUGCCCGGUCGUGGGGGAUAACACUUCGAAAGAAGUGCUAAUACCGCAUACGAUCUAUGGAUGAAAGCGGGGGACCGUAAGGCCUCGCGCGAUCGGAGCGGCCGAUGUCAGAUUAGGUAGUUGGUGGGGUAAAGGCUCACCAAGCCAACGAUCUGUAGCUGGUCUGAGAGGACGACCAGCCACACUGGGACUGAGACACGGCCCAGACUCCUACGGGAGGCAGCAGUGGGGAAUUUUGGACAAUGGGCGCAAGCCUGAUCCAGCAAUGCCGCGUGCAGGAAGAAGGCCUUCGGGUUGUAAACUGCUUUUGUACGGAACGAAAAGGUCCUGGCUAAUACCCGGGGCUGAUGACGGUACCGUAAGAAUAAGCACCGGCUAACUACGUGCCAGCAGCCGCGGUAAUACGUAGGGUGCAAGCGUUAAUCGGAAUUACUGGGCGUAAAGCGUGCGCAGGCGGUCUUGUAAGACAGGCGUGAAAUCCCCGGGCUCAACCUGGGAAUUGCGCUUGUGACUGCAAGGCUGGAGUGCGGCAGAGGGGGAUGGAAUUCCGCGUGUAGCAGUGAAAUGCGUAGAUAUGCGGAGGAACACCGAUGGCGAAGGCAAUCCCCUGGGC